rnacentral:sRNA from 1 species
AAAAGGCCGGUACCUCGGGCAAGAUGGCUACGAAGAGUCUCGCUUCCCGCCUCCGGGGCUCCCGGCGUUUUCUGAGCGGCUUCGUGGCUGGGGCUGUAGUGGGAGCUGCGGGAGCUGGGCUCACGGCCCUGCAGUUCUUCCGGAGUCAGGGCGCUGAGGGAGCGUUGACAGGGAAGCAGCCGGAUGGAUCUGCAGAAAAGGCUGUCUUGGAACAAUUUGGAUUCCCUUUAACUGGAACAGAGACAAGGUGUUACACUAAUCACGCUUUGUCUUAUGAUCAGGCAAAGCGGGUGCCUAGAUGGGUUCUUGAACAUAUUUCCAAAAGCAAGAUAAUGGGUAGGUGGUUGGAUAAAAAAAUGGAAGUAACAGUAUUUAUGAAAGAUGUCUCCAAAUUUAAAACAGGGAUGAUUAUUAAUAUUCUCAACAUUUUUCAUAUCAUAGCACAUGUAGAAAAUUAUAUUUAUAUAGCUUACUGGUUAAAUCAACCCUGCCUGGCAGCCAGAAAGCCAGACCCUUUCCAGCUGUCUCAGGGCUGAAAAUACCCAUAUCUUGACACACUAGUUGGGAGGCUCUGUCAUAA